rnacentral:rRNA from 1 species
AACGAACGCUGGCGGCAUGCCUAACACAUGCAAGUCGAACGUGAUCCGGGGCUUCGGUUCCGGUGAAAGUGGCGGACGGGUGAGUAACGCGUGGGAACCUGCCCAGUGGUAGGGGAUAACCGCGGGAAACUGCGGCUAAUACCCUAUGUGCCCUGCGGGGCAAAGAUUCAUCGCCAUUGGAGGGGCCCGCGUCGGAUUAGGUAGUUGGUGGGGUAACGGCCUACCAAGCCAGCGAUCCGUAGCUGGUCUGAGAGGAUGAUCAGCCACACUGGGACUGAGACACGGCCCAGACUCCUGCGGGAGGGAGCAGUGGGGAGUAUUGGACAAGGGGGUCAACCCUGAUCCAGCAAUGCCGCGUGAGUGAUGAAGGCCUUAGGGUUGUAAAGCUCUUUCGGCGGGGAAGAUGAUGACGGUACCCGCAGAAGAAGCCCCGGCUAACUUCGUGCCAGCCGCCGCUGUAAUAC